rnacentral:rRNA from 1 species
AGCGAACGCUGGCGGCGUGCCUAACACAUGCAAGUCGAACGUGAAAAGGGGCAACCCUGAGUAAAGUGGCGUACGGGUGAGUAAUACGUAGGUAAUCUACCUGAGUGUCUGGAAUAACCGGCCGAAAGGCUGGCUAAUACUAGAUAGAGCGAUGGGACUCGUAAUGAGUCUUUCGGGAAAGGGAGGCAGCAAUGCCCUUCGCACUCAGAUGAGCCUGCGUCUGAUUAGCUAGUUGGUGGGGUAAAGGCCCACCAAGGCGAUGAUCGGUAGCUGGUCU